UGAGGAAUAUUGGUCAAUGGGGGCAACCCUGAACCAGCCAAGUCGCGUGAAGGAUGAAGGUCUUAUGGAUUGUAAACUUCUUUUAUACAGGAAUAAAUUGGGGGACGUGUCCCCUUUUGCAUGUACUGUAUGAAUAAGGAUCGGCUAACUCCGUGCCAGCAGCCGCGGUAAUACGGAGGAUCCGAGCGUUAUCCGGAUUUAUUGGGUUUAAAGGGUGCGCAGGCGGGAUGUUAAGUCGGCGGUGAAAUUUUGCAGCUCAACUGUAAAAGUGCCUUCGAUACUGGCUUCCUUGAGUGUAGAUGAAGUAGGCGGAAUUUGUGGUGUAGCGGUGAAAUGCUUAGAGAUCACGAGGAACUCCGAUUGCGCAGGCAGCUUACUAAACUACAACUGACGCUCAUGCACGAAGGCGUGGGGAUCAAACA
rnacentral:rRNA from 1 species